UACGUAGGGUGCGAGCGUUGUCCGGAUUUAUUGGGCGUAAAGAGCUCGUAGGCGGUUUGUCGCGUCUGCUGUGAAAACCUAAGGCUCAACCUUGGGCUUGCAGUGGGUACGGGCAGACUAGAGUGCGGUAGGGGUGACUGGAAUUCCUGGUGUAGCGGUGGAAUGCGCAGAUAUCAGGAGGAACACCGAUGGCGAAGGUAGGUCACUGGGCCGCAACUGACGCUGAGGAGCGAAAGCAUGGGGAGCGAACAGG
rnacentral:rRNA from 1 species